UACGAAGGGGGCGAGCGUUGUUCGGAAUUACUGGGCGUAAAGCGUGCGCAGGCGGUCUGUUAAGACCGAUGUGAAAUCCCCGGGCUUAACCUGGGAACUGCAUUGGUGACUGGCAGGCUUUGAGUGUGGCAGAGGGAGGUAGAAUUCCACGUGUAGCAGUGAAAUGCGUAGAGAUCUGGAGGAAUACCGAUGGCGAAGGCAGCCCCCUGGGCCAAUACUGACGCUCAUGCACGAAAGCGUGGGGAGCAAACAGG
rnacentral:rRNA from 1 species